rnacentral:lncRNA from 10 species
UGGAUUCCUUAUUCAGUAUGAUAUUGGUUGUGGAUUUGUCACAGGUGGUUCUUAUUUUUUAGAGAUUUUUUUCCAUCACUUUACUUUGAGCCUAUCAGUGUCAUUGAAUGGGAGAUCGUUCUCUUGAAGACAGCAUACAAUUGGGUCUUGCUUAUUUAUUCAAUUUUCUACUCUGUGCCUUUUAGGUGGGGACCCUGUUCUGCAGGUCUGCUGGAGUUUGCAGGAGGUCCACUCCAGACCCUGUUUGCCUGGAUAUCACCAGUGGAGGUAGCAUAACAGCAAAGAUUGCUGCCUGCUUCUUCCUCUGGAAGCUUCGUCCCAGAAGGACACCUGCCAGAUGUCAGCUGGAGCUCUCCUGUAUGAGGUGUUUGUCGAACUUUGCUGGGAGGUGUCUCCCUGUCAGGAGGCAUGGGGGUCAGGGACCCAUUUAAGGAGGCAGUCUGUCCCUUACUAGAGCACGAGCGCUGUGCUGGGAGACCCACUGCUCUCUUCAGAGCCGGCAGGCAGGAACAUUGAAGUCUGCUGAAGUUGUGCCCACAGCAGCCCCUUCCCCCAGGUGUUCUGUCCCAGGGAGAUGGGAGUUUUAUCUACAAGCCACUGACUGGGGCUGCUGUCUUUCCUUCAGAGAUGUCCUGCCCAUAGAGGAGGAAUCUAGAGAGGCAGUCUGGCUACAGCACAUUUGUGGACUGCGGUGGGCUCCGCCCAGUCCAAACUUCCCAGUGGUUUUGUUUACACUGAGGGGAAAACCGCCUGCUCAAGCCUCAGUAAUGGCAGAUGUCCCUUCCCCCACCAAGCUCCAGUGUCCCAGGUCGACUUCAGAUUAGUGUGCUGGCAGCAAGCAUUUCAAGUGAGUGGAUCUUAGCUUGCUGGGUUCUGUGGAGAUAGGAUCUGCUGAGCAAGAACCCUUAGCUCCCUGGCUUCAGCCCCAUUUCCAGGCGAAUAAACAGUUCUGUAUUGCUGGCAUUCCAG